UACGUAGGGGGGCAAGCGUUGUCCGGAAUCAUUGGGCGUAAAGCGCGUGUAGGCGGUCCGGUAAGUCCGCUGUGAAAGUCGGGGGCUCAACCCUCGGAUGCCGGUGGAUACUGUCGGGCUUGAGUACGGAAGAGGCGAGUGGAAUUCCUGGUGUAGCGGUGAAAUGCGCAGAUAUCAGGAGGAACACCAAUGGCGAAGGCAGCUCGCUGGAACGGUACUGACGCUGAGGCGCGAAAGCGUGGGGAGCAAACAGG
rnacentral:rRNA from 1 species